GCCCGGGCCCACCCUACCUCUCCUUUUUGCCUCCCCGCCUCAGAAGGCAGUUUCCUUCCGAACUGGGCAGGGGGUCUCGCGCUGCAGCCCGUGGAGUGGUCUGGGGACUUGCCCCGGAGGUGGGGAAGCGGCCGCCGCCGCUCACACCCUCCUGUGGGGCCGGCGGGGUACAAGGCCCCCGGGUAGCUUAGUCCCCGCCGGCGGGCUGCAGAGGCAGUUGCCCUGGGUUACGGACGCGCUGGGGGCGGGGCGGUAGGCGGGACUGCGGGGGAUUCGCAGUGGAAGUGACGUAUACGCGCCACGCGCAACAAAGCUGAGCGCGAGAGGCGACGCCCACUGACCGCGGUGGGCGCGUGCUCCCGGCAGGCUGUGCGGGACCGCGAACAUUCCACCCGCGCCUGAGGAGCUCACUGCAGCUGAGAGCGCGGGAGGCCGCCUCGCGAGUCCCAAACAGGUUUCUAAAACAACGAACUUAAUGAGAGAACAGCCACCACAGACCUGCGCUCUGUCAGCAAGAAGCCUGAGUUCUCGGAGGUGCAGUUAAUGUCUCAGGGUCCACGAUGCUCACAAAUGCUAGAAAUCUAAGGUCAGGAAGGAGCUCGGCGACGCUCGCCCGGGUCUCCAGCAGCGAGCGGCCGACGCUCCUGCCGGAAGCAGUCGGGACACGGCGACCGCGCGUGUUCUCCAGGCCUCCCCGCCCUCCUCCCCCCUCCUCCCAACCCGCAGGACAAAGACUGCGGGGUCGUUUAAGUCACUCAGGGAGUAGCGGCCUCGCGACACGGGAUCCCAACAACAAUAAGCGUGUGCAGGGGUCGCCUCCCUUGACCGGGGCGACCAGCGGCGGGGACCCGAGGUGAGGAUCGAGGCCCCAGUCCCUUACCCCGAGUCAGCUUGGCUCGCCCCACGUGCCCGCCCGC